rnacentral:rRNA from 1 species
AGAGUUUGAUCCUGGCUCAGGAUGAACGCUAGCUACAGGCUUAACACAUGCAAGUCGAGGGGCAGCAUGGUCUUAGCUUGCUAAGGCCGAUGGCGACCGGCGCACGGGUGAGUAACGCGUAUCCAACCUGCCUUACACUCUUGGACAGCCUUCUGAAAGGGAGAUUAAUACAAGAUGUUAUCAUGAGUAAGCAUUUUCGCAUGAUUAAAGGUUUACCGGUGUAAGAUGGGGAUGCGUUCCAUUAGAUAGUAGGCGGGGUAACGGCCCACCUAGUCUUCGAUGGAUAGGGGUUCUGAGAGGAAGGUCCCCCACAUUGGAACUGAGACACGGUCCAAACUCCUACGGGAGGCAGCAGUGAGGAAUAUUGGUCAAUGGACGAGAGUCUGAACCAGCCAAGUAGCGUGAAGGAUGACUGCCCUAUGGGUUGUAAACUUCUUUUAUACGGGAAUAAAGUGAGCCACGUGUGGCUUUUUGUAUGUACCGUAUGAAUAAGGAUCGGCUAACUCCGUGCCAGCAGCCGCGGUAAUACGGAGGAUCCGAGCGUUAUCCGGAUUUAUUGGGUUUAAAGGGAGCGUAGAUGGGUUGUUAAGUCAGUUGUGAAAGUUUGCGGCUCAACCGUAAAAUUGCAAUUGAUACUGGCAGUCUUGAGUACAGUUGAGGUAGGCGGAAUUCGUGGUGUAGCGGUGAAAUGCUUAGAUAUCACGAAGAACUCCGAUUGCGAAGGCAGCUUACUAACCUGUAACUGACAUUGAUGCUCGAAAGUGUGGGUAUCAAACAGGAUUAGAUACCCUGGUAGUCCACACGGUAAACGAUGAAUACUCGCUGUAGGCGAUAUACGGUCUGCGGCCAAGCGAAAGCAUUAAGUAUUCCACCUGGGGAGUACGCCGGCAACGGUGAAACUCAAAGGAAU